rnacentral:SRP_RNA from 1 species
GCUGGGCAUAGUGGUGUGUGCCUGUAGUCCCAGCUACUAGGGAGGCUGAGGUGGGAGGAUUGCUUGAGCCCAGGAGGUUGAGGCUGCAGUGAGCUGAUUGUGCCACUACACUCCAGUCUGGCAACAGAGCAAGAUCCUAUCUCAA